rnacentral:rRNA from 1 species
GAUGAACGCUAGCGGCAGGCUUAAUACAUGCAAGUCGAGGGGUAGCAAGAUUGUAGCAAUACAAUUGUUGACGACCGGCAAACGGGUGCGGAACACGUACACAACCUUCCUACAAGUGGGGAAUAGCCCAGAGAAAUUUGGAUUAAUACCCCGUAACAUAGCGAUGUGGCAUCACAUUGCUAUUAUAGCUUCGGCGCUUGUUGAUGGGUGUGCGGCUGAUUAGAUAGUUGGCGGGGUAACGGCCCACCAAGUCUACGAUCAGUAGCUGAUGUGAGAGCAUGAUCAGCCACACGGGCACUGAGACACGGGCCCGACUCCUACGGGAGGCAGCAGUAAGGAAUAUGGGACAAUGGACGCGAGUCUGAUCCAGCCAUGCCGCGUGAAGGAUUAAGGUCCUCUGGAUUGUAAACUUCUUUUAUAAGGGACGAAAAAAGGCUUUUCUAAGUCGUCUGACGGUACCUUAUGAAUAAGCACCGGCUAACUCCGUGCCAGCAGCCGCCGUAACAC